CAAAGGGCAUACGGAGGAUGCCUUGGCGAGUCCUGGCGAUGAAGGGCGUGGCAAACUGCGAUAAGCCCCGGGUAGGUGCAAGCAACCUUUGAUCCGGGGAUUCCCGAAUGGGGCAACCCAUCUGCCUGAAAGGGCAGAUAUUCUGCUGUAAAUAUAAAUAGCAGCAGAAAGCGAACUGGGGGAAGUGAACCAUCUCAGUACCCCAAGGAAAAGAAAGCAAAAGCGAUUCUCUAAGUAGCGGCGAGCGAACGGAGAAUAGUCCAAACCGAAUAACGGUAAUAGCGUAGACGCGUUCGUUAUUCGGGGUUGUAGGGUUCAUCAUAGGAAGGUCUACCUUCCUAUCAGGUAUAAAAAUCUUUCAAGGUAGUUGAAUAACAUGGAAAGGUUAACCAUAGAGGGUGAAAGUCCCGUAGACAAAACUUUGAAAGUACCUGAGAUGAAUUCCUGAGUACUACGGAGAAACCGGGAAACUCCGUAGGAAUCUGGGAGGACCACCUUCCAAGACUAAAUACACGGACUCGACCGAUAGUGGACAAGUACCACGAGGGAAAGGUGAAAAGAACCCCGGAAGGGGAGUGAAAUAGAACCUGAAACCGUAUGCCUACAAGCAGUCGGAGUCCCAUUUUUGGGAUAACGGCGUGCCUAUUGAAGAAUGAGCCGGCGAGUUACUGAUUGUGGCAAGGUUAAUCCGCAGAAACGGAGGAGCCGUAGCGAAAGCGAAUGGUCUGAAAAGGGCCAUAAGUCACAGUUAGUAGACCCGAAGCCGGGCGAUCUACCCAUGGACAGGAUGAACCUACCUUAACCGGUGGGGGAGGUCCGAACCGGUGGUUGUUGCAAAAACCUCGGAUGAUCUGUGGGUAGGAGUGAAAGGCUAAUCAAGCUCGGUGAUAGCUGGUUCUCCCCGAAAUGACUUUAGGGUCAGCCUCACUUUUUGCCAAUUAUUGGCAACGACAUAUUAUAUAUGUCGGAGAGAAUGGUGGGGGUAGAGCACUGAUGGGGUAAGUCUGCCGUUAGGCGGGCAAACCCUUUCAAACUCCGAAUACCACCAUUUUUUAAGUGGGAGUGAGACUAUGGGGGCUAAGCUCCAUAGUCAAAAGGGAUUGAGCCCAGACCAUCAGUUAAGGUCCCUAAAUCCAGGCUAAGUGGUAAAGGAGGUGGAACCACUUAGACAACCAGGAGGUUGGCUUAGAAGCAGCCAUCCUUUAAAGAAAGCGUAACAGCUCACUGGUCGAGGUGAUUCUGCGCCGACAAUUCAACGGGGCUUAAGUCUGGUACCGAAACUAUGGGUUACCAUUUUUAUGGUAACGGUAGGGGAGCAUUCCCUAACAUUGAAGUUCAUCCGUAAGGAUGGAUGGAGUUAAGGGAAGAGAGAAUGCCGGCAUAAGUAGCGAAAAUCCCGAUGAGAAUUCGGGACGCCGAAAGCCCAAGGUUUCCUGGGGAAGGUUCGUCCUCCCAGGGUCAGGCGGGUGCUAAGUCCAGGCCGAAAGGCGUAGAUGAUGCACAGCAGGUUAAUAUUCCUGCCCUAUCUGAUAAGCGCUAAUACCGAAGGGGUGACGAAACAGAAUAGGUCAGCCAGUGAUUGGUUGUACUGGUUCAACCUGUUAGGUUUGUUCGUGGCAAAUCCAUGGACAUUCAAAAACCAAGCAGGGAGUACGAGUCCGCUCAAAACGGACGAAGUGGUCAAAUUCUGUUUCCAAGAAAAACCUCGUAGGGAGUUUAUCAGGUACCCGUACCGCAAUCCGACACAGGUAGGCUGGGGGAAUACCCUAAGGCGCACGAGAGAACCCUCGCUAAGGAACUCGGCAAGUUAACCCCGUAACUUCGGGAUAAGGGGUGCCCAAGUAAGGUAAAGUUCAUUCUGAGCCUGAAAGGGUCGCAGUGAAAUGGCUCCCGCGACUGUUUAUCAAAAACACAGGGCUCUGCUAACUCGUAAGAGGAAGUAUAGGGCCUGACAAGUGCCCGGCGCCGGAAGGUUAAGGGGAGGUGUUAUCCGCAAGGAGAAGCACUGAACCUAAGCCCCGGCAAGCGGCGGCCGUAACUAUAGAAAAGACCGCUGUAGUUACGUAAAAAAAUCUGG
rnacentral:rRNA from 1 species